UUUUUUUAACACAUUAAUUUUUAGACUAUAUCUUUAUAUUAAUUUUUCUGCUUAUACAAUAACUUUAUAGAUAUAUAACUUAUUAUAAACAAUAGAAUACUUAGCAUAAAAACUAUAAGAAUAAUAACAUAUUUUUAAUCAUACUUGAAUUUUUGGCUUAUAUCGUAUUAGAUUUGUUCAAUCAGUUACAUAAUUACUACAGCAUCAGGAGAAAUAGAUGUAAGUGUGUGAGGUAAUUCUAUAUUGAUCUCAGUAACAAGAUUCAUUAAUGUUUUUAUCUAAUUUUCAUUAGUGCAUCUAAUUGCCUGUAAAUAAUCAGUUCUUAGUAACGAUUACAUAUUACUAUAACAUACUAUAAUAUACAAUACAUUUUAUUAAAUGCAAAAAUAAUAUUUAUUGAUUUCUUAUAAUAAAUACAAUGCUUGAAAAUUUCUUCUGUAUAUUCUUAGCUCUUAAUAUAUCUCGAUUUUCGUUAGCAACAAGACUAUCCAAUACAAGUUUCGAGAACUUUUUUAUGCUGGUCAAUAUAAAGGAAUUCAUUCCCAAUGCACAUGUAGUAUUCACAAAUUAGGAUAAAAUAAAGAAGAAGAAGAGAAAGCGAGGAGAUUUUUGACAUUUGUGUGAGCCAAAAGAAAUAGAAAAAGGAUCUCUACAAUGGAUUUCUAUGAAAUCCACUUGGUGUGGGACAGCAUGCUACAAUUGCAGAGAUUAAAUCGGCAUAUCGUAAAAAAUCAUUGACUUCCCAUCCGGAUAAAAAUCCCGAUAAUCCAAAUGCAGCAGCAGAAUUUUGCAAAUUGUCAGAAGCAAUGAAAUUGUUAUGCGAUAAUAAAACCAGAGUGUAGAAACAUGUCAGAAGCAAUGAAAUUGUUAUGCGAUAAUAAAACCAGAGCAGCCUAUGAUGAAAGUAUUGCUGCAGAAAAACGGGAACAGGAACGCAGAGAACAAGAACGCAAAGAUCAAGAACGCAGAGAACAAGAAUGCAUAGAACAAGAAUGCAUAGAACAAAAACGCAGAAAACAGGAAUGCAGAGAAUUUAAUACCAAAAAGAGAAAAUUAAACUAGGAAGGAAUUAAUAAGGAGGAAGAAAAAGAAGAGGACAAAAAAGAGAAACCGAUUAAAUUUUCUUCAGUAUUAUAAUUAUUAUUGUAAUAAUAAUAGUUAUUAUUAUUAUAAUAAUUCUAAUUGUUUUUAUGUAUAUUAUUAAUUUUUAUUAUUAACCAAGUUUAUUAUUAAUCAACCAAUUUUUAUUUUUAUUUUUGGAAUCCUAAAUUAGAAGUUUCUAAGCAAUAUAAAUAGAGCAUUACAAAAGAAUUUGAUUUUUUUUUCAAGAUAUGACAUAAACAAAAGAUCUCAGCCUAUUAACUAUUUGAUUUACAGUAUUUUAUCAUUAGACAUUGUAUAUUAUACAUUGUAUAUUAUAUACAUUGUAUAUUGUUACAAUUAUUAUUAUUAUUAUAAUUCUAAUUGUUAUUAUGUUUAUUAUUAAUUUUUAGUAUUAACCAAAUUUAUUAUUAACCAAUCAAUUUUUUUUAGUUUUAUUUUUAGAAUUCCAAAUUAGAAGUUUUUAAGAGAAACAAGUAGAGAUACAAAAGAAUUUGAUUUUUUUUCAACAAUUUUUUCAACAUGACAUAAACAUCUCAGCCUAUUUGAUUUACAGUAUUUUAUCAUUACGCAUUGUAUAUUAUACAUUGUAUAUUGUUACAGUUAUUGUUAUAAUAAUUCUAAUUUUUAUUAUGUUUAUUAUUAAUUUUUAGUAUUUAGUAUUUAGUAUAAAUUAAUUUUUAGUAUAAAGUUUAUUAUUAACCAACCAAUUUUUAUUUUUUUUAUUUUUAUUUUUGGAAUCCCAGAUUAGAAGUUUCUAAGUGACACAAAUAGAAGUACAAAGAAUUUGAUUUUUUUUUCAACAUGACAAACAGCCUACUAAUUAUUUGAUUUACAGUAUUUUAUCAUUAUACAUUGUAUAUUAUACUAUUGUUAAUUGUAAUGUGUUAUAUUUUAAAUUAUUAAAUUAUUAUUAUAUUAUUUUUAAAUUUAGCAAUAUUUAAAAAAAUGUAAAAUAAAUACUCUUGUGCUAAAUAUACUUUUGCGCAUUUGUAUAAUUUCUGGACAUUCUACAAAAUGCAUAAAACAAAAAGACUUUUAUAUUAUUCUUAGAUUGCUAAGGCCCAUAUCAGGCUACACACUGAAUAUUAAAGAAUAAAAAUUGGAAUUUAACUAAUCGGAACAAAAAGGAAUUAAAAUUUUUUUGCUUU